AUUGAACGCUGGCGGCAUGCUUUACACAUGCAAGUCGAACGGCAGCGCGGGCUUCGGCCUGGCGGCGAGUGGCGAACGGGUGAGUAAUGCAUCGGAACGUGCCCAGUAGUGGGGGAUAGCCCGGCGAAAGCCGGAUUAAUACCGCAUACGACCUGAGGGUGAAAGCGGGGGACCGAAAGGCCUCGCGCUAUUGGAGCGGCCGAUGUCGGAUUAGCUAGUUGGUGGGGUAAAGGCUUACCAAGGCGACGAUCCGUAGCUGGUCUGAGAGGACGACCAGCCACACUGGGACUGAGACACGGCCCAGACUCCUACGGGAGGCAGCAGUGGGGAAUUUUGGACGAUGGGGGCAACCCUGAUCCAGCCAUGCCGCGUGCGGGAAGAAGGCCUUCGGGUUGUAAACCGCUUUUGUUCGGGAAGAAAUCCUCUGGGCUAAUACCCCGGGGGGAUGACGGUACCGGAAGAAUAAGCACCGGCUAACUACGUG
rnacentral:rRNA from 1 species